rnacentral:rRNA from 1 species
UACGUAGGGGGCGAGCGUUGUCCGAAGUUACUGGGCGUAAAGAGCGCGUAGGCGGACCCUUAAGUGAGGGGUGAAAGGUUCGGGCUCAACCCGGAGAGUGCCUUUCAUACUGGGGGUCUUGAGUGCGGGAGAGGCAAGUGGAAUGGUCGGUGUAGCGGUGAAAUGCGUAGAUAUCGAUCGGAACACCCGUGGCGAAGGCGACUUGCUGGACCCUUUCUGACGCUGAGGCUCGAAAGCCAGGGGAGCAAACGGG